UACGUAGGGAGCAAGCGUUGUUCGGAUUUACUGGGCGUAAAGGGCGCGUAGGCGGCGCUGUAAGUCACUUGUGAAAUCUCUGGGCUUAACUCGGAACGGUCAAGUGAUACUGCAGUGCUAGAGUGCGGAAGGGGCAAUCGGAAUUCUUGGUGUAGCGGUGAAAUGCGUAGAUAUCAAGAGGAACACCUGAGGUGAAGACGGGCUGCUGGGCCGACACUGACGCUGACAGCGCGAAAGCCAGGGGAGCAAACGGG
rnacentral:rRNA from 1 species